rnacentral:rRNA from 1 species
GGAUUAGAUACCCCACUAUGCUUGGCCUUAAACAUUGAUGGAGCAUUACAUUUCACCAUCCGCCCGGGAACUACGAGCAUCAGCUUAAAACCCAAAGGACUUGGCGGUGCUUUAGAUCCACCUAGAGGAGCCUGUUCUAGAACCGAUAACCCCCGUUCAACCUCACCUUUUCUUGUUUUUCCCGCCUAUAUACCGCCGUCGUCAGCUUACCCUGUGAAGGUUCCAUAGUAAGCAAAAUUGGUACAGCCCAAAACGUCAGGUCGAGGUGUAGCGUAUGAAAAGGGAAGAAAUGGGCUACAUUCCUCAGCCAUGAGGAACACGAAGACUAUGCUGAAACGCAUUUUUAAAGGAGGAUUUAGCAGUAAGAGAAAAAUAGAGUGUUUCUCUGAACUUGGCCCUGAAGCGCGCACACACCGCCCGUC